rnacentral:lncRNA from 1 species
CGGGUAGAGGUGCGGCUGGGCCCUUUACGAGGUUCGGUCUUGGAGCUCCGUCUUCGGCAGCGGGCUCGGGGGCCUCGGACUCUGCAUAAGGCCCCGGAAAAGAUGACCGGCCCCGGGCUGGGCGCGGUGGCUCAUGCCUGUAACCCUGGAGCUUUGGGAGGCCUUGGCGGGCGGAUCGCUUGAGUCCAGGAGUUCGAGAUCAGCCUGGGCAACAAAGCGAGACACCACCCCCCACCCCCAGUCGCUACAGAAGAAAAAAAAAAAAAUUAACCGGGCGUGGUGUCUCGCGCCCAGUGGUCCUAGCUCCUCGGGAAGUCAUCAGAGAUGCCAGACCAGAGGAAAUACAGCAAUCAAAGCAGGCAAACCUGUUGCUAAAUGUGUUUUUGAGAGUAAAACUCCUUGGCCAAAUACUUCAAGACGCUGAUGAUUCUCAAAACUGUCAUCAUGAACCAUCUGGAGAAGGCCAGAUGUUUACAUUUCACGGAAAUGUGGUCCUGAAACCUUCAUUCUGAGCGCAGAGCUAACCACCUCCUCCUAUUCUUGGCAACACUAGUAAAUGAUACAUUACCACAGAGCAGGUGAAAUGCAGCAGAGACAUCUACGCUAGAACCUGAGGGUUGCUAUGUUGUAAGAAGCAUGCCCAGGUUUAUACUAGGACGCUCGGCUGGAGCAUUGGUUCACCGCUGUCCACUAUUUUAAAGACAUGCCAGAAAUAACAAUCCUAUUAUCUGAUUUCCAAGUAAGUCAGGAUGUUCCUACUAACAGCCCUUCCUUUUAUGGUAGUGAGAAUAGUCUAGAAACUUAGUGUUUUAUGAUAAUUCAUGUGCCGUGGCUCUCUUCCAGGAGAUUUUAAUCUCCCUCUGGCCUUGUCUUAUUCACCUUUAUGUCCCAGGACAAAAAUGUUGGACUGUUUGUUAUAUGUUAAUAAGUGGGCUGGGCGCGGUGGCUCACGCCUGUAAUCCCAGCACUUUGGGAGGCCGAGGUGGGCAGAUCACAAGGUCAGGAGUUCAAGACCAGCCUGCCCAAUAUGGUGAAACCCCAUCUGUACUAAAAAUACAAAAACAUUAGCCAGGUGUAGUGGCACAUGCCUGUAAUCCCAGCUACUCGGGAGGUUGAGGCAGGAGAAUUGCUUGAAUCCGGGAGAUGGAGGUUACAGUGAGCCAAGAUUGCGACACUGCACUCCAGCCUGGGCAACAGAGCAAGACUUCGUCUUAAAAAAUAAAAUAAAAUAAAAUAAAUGAUUGAUAAACAGUGAAUGAAGGCUGGGCGCAGUGGCUCACACCUGGAAUCCCAACACUUUGGGAAGCCAAGGCAGGCAGAUCACCUGAAGUCAGGAGUUCAAAUCCAGCCUGGCCAACAUGGCGAAACCCCGUCUUUACUAAAAAAUACUAAC